GGACGGGCUGGCUGGCGGGCGGGCGGCUGGUGGGCGCCCCUCUCGCAGCGCCCCGGCCCGCCUUCCCCGCUGCCCCCUGGGAGCCGCCCCCUCCCGCCCGCUCGGCUUUAGGGUGAUUAGGCGCCAAGUUGCCGGGAUUGCAAACGAGAAACACGCCGGAUCGGGUUUUCAGAUCCCAGCAACUAGAGGCACCUGUGGGUGCAGACCCGCCGCCUGUUGAGAGGAGUGGACACUGGCUUUGGAAGCGCGUCCAAGUGUGUCCUGAAGCAAACCACCCUCGCUCUGCCUGCCAGCCGAGUCCAGUCCACACUUAACCUCUUCCUUUCGUCCAGGAACACAUGCCCAUCCAUGACCUUCCUUGCAAAUGGCAGCGCGUGCCCAUCUUGCUGUCCGGUGGCUCAGUCGUGUCUGACUCUCUGCACCCCCUUGGAAGGCAGCACGCCAGGCUUCCCUGUUCUUCAGUGGCUCGGGCAACUUCUUGACGUCAGGACGCUCAAAAAAGUGCCCCGAGCCUCUUUUGCUGUGAUUGAUUUUGCAGUUCAGAGGAACCUUUAUGGAAACUUGCUUGGAAAUUGGAAAGCCAAGCCAGUAUGCUGGAAGUUGCAGCAGAAGCAUUGACAUCACUGCUACUCCGAAAGGUCUGGAGACACCUCUGGGAAAUUUUUUAUUCCAGAAUCAUCCUGAGUAAGUGAGGCUCUAAUGGCGUCUCAUUUUACAGUUGAAGGAACCAAGCCAGGGAAGUUUAAUAGAUGCAAAGUAGCCGUGAUAAAGCCAGAGCAGGAGCCCAGUUCUCUUGAGCCCAAUUCUAAGACUUUUUCCACACCAGACAGUGUUACCUCUUACAUGACCCAUUAGGUUACUGUCUUAGGGGAUAUGUUUAGACUCUAGGUAUUCUUGAAAACAGAUUACAGAGAAACCCAUCUAUAAUGCUGGGGCAAGGAGGUGGCCAGCACAGAACUGGAAUGUUUCUGCCCCAAAGGGCCAAUUAAUUUCUCAGUGUAAUUUUAUCCAGCCCAAUAAGAAGGUCUCAAGAAGUGGACAUUUUAUACAUAUUUUAAAAGCUUUAGCCAUACACGUAUUCUAAAGGACCAAGGUGUGGAGGCAUGUUACUCCAUGAAACCAGAGUUAUUUUUCUUUAAAAAAAAAAAAAAAAAGAGCUACGGCUAGUUCCUAUUUCCCAGAACAAGAAGUUAGGGUUUUCCCUGCUUACUUAGAGAAAGGAUUUUCAGAACAAAUGAUAAUUGAAGUGGAGUUAGUACUGUUCGCUGAGACUGCUGGUAUUUUCAACUUGUCAUAAACUGAAGCUCUUCCAGAUGUAGUCCAUGGGCCAUCAGUCUCAUCUGGGAGCUGGUAAGAAAUAGAGAAUCUCAGUCCCUUCCUGGACCUGCUGAAUCAGAAUCCAUAGUUUAACAAGAUCUCCAAGGGAUUCACAUAUGAAUUAAAGCUGGAGAAUCACACUGUCUCAAAAACGUAAUAGACAUGAUGAAUACAGCUCUCUCUUCUCACUCUUCCUCCCUACAGACCUCCUUUCCUUCAUUCUGUGCUUUUCCCCCCUCUUCUUUUGCCCAUAUUGGGUCAGGAAAUAAAAGGAAAGAUUUUUAUUCAUGAUAGAGUUAUAAUUUUGCCUUUUUUAAAGGAACAUAUGCAUCUUCCUAGAACAUAAUAGACUCAACUGUGUAGACUCAAUACACUUACGGGACCCGUGGGGAGGGGGGAGAGAAACAAGCAACAAACUCCAUAUAAAUGGUAUUUAUGUCAGUACAGAAAAUAGAUGAACAAUUCCUAACAGGAAGAUGAGCAAAGCCCAUGAAC
ensembl:lncRNA